ensembl:lncRNA
GAAUGAAUACUAUUAAUUUAUUCAGAAAUAUGAAAUUUCCUGAUAUAAAAUAUUUAUAAUAAUACAAUAAUUUGAAAACUAAUUAUCUAACAACCAGGCCAAGGAAAUAAGUAACAUUACUAAAGACAAUAGUAGAAAUUAAAAAAAAAAGUAGAAUUAAAGAUUACUAAAGGGUUAAAAAAAACUAAGGUGAAAAGUGAGGAAGACAAAAUUAACAGACGAUAGGAAAGCUUCAAAUACCUACAUUAUUCUAGAAAUUCUGAUUUCCUCCUAGAGUCCUGGCUCAGAAUAUUGGGUAAUAUAGGCUUCAAGAACUUGAAAUCAUUACUUUCAGAGCCUCCUGUCAGACACACCUCGUACUGGUAGCUCUGGGAUAGGGUCCCGGUGCCGCUCACGUCCACCAGAUGCCCUGGAAAGGGGCCCUUGGGCACCGAACAGCGACCUACCGAGGCCGCCCUGCUCCUCCUGCACAGCCGCACCGCCACGAACAGGAGCACCGACAAGAGGAAGAGCGAAGACACCGAGGCCAAAGCCACCACCAGGUAGACGGUAAGCGAGUCGGCCUGGGCCUGGGCCGGGGCCGCCUCUGGGAGAGGCAGGUAGGGCUGGGAGAAGCCGUCCACUAGGAGCAAGUGCAGCGUGGUGGUGGCCGAGAGCGGAGGCUCGCCAUUGUCCUUGACCAGCACCGCCAGCCUGUGCUUGGCCGCGUCAGCCGCUCAGCAGCCUGGCGGUGCGCACCUCGCCAUUGUGCGCCCACACGCCGAACAGCCCGGGCUCCGUGGCCUUGAGCAGCUGGUACGACAGCCAGGCGUUCUGGCCCGAGUCGCCGUCCACCGCCACCACCUUGGUCACCAGGUAGCCUGGCUCGGCCGCCCGGGGCAUCAGCUCGGUGCAGGGCGCGGAGCCGUUUUGCAGCGGGUACAGCACGAAGGGCGAGUUGUCGUUGGCGUCCAGCACCAGCACGCGCACCAGCGCCUCGCUGCUCAGCUCUGGGGACCCGCGGUCUGUGGCGCCCACGCGGAACUCGAACUCCUGCAGGGUCUCGUAGUCCAGCGAUCGGAGGGCGAACAGGUGGCCGUUGUCUGUGUUGAUGGAGACCAGGGAGGCGAGGGGCAGGUGCGGGUCCUGGGGCGGCAGCAGCGAGUAGGUGACCUGGGCGUUGGUGCCUGAGUCUCUGUCUGUGGCGCUGACGCUGCCGAUGUGCAGCGCGGGGCUGUUGUUCUCGCGGACGAACAGGGUGUAGGAGGUUUGGGUGAAGGCGGGGGCGUUGUCAUUGACGUCGGAGACCAGCACGGUUAUGCAGUGCUCGGUUUUCAGCCUUGGAGUCCCCAAGUCUGUGAUGGUGAUGGUGAUGUUGUACUGGGCUCUGUUCUCUCUGUCCAGCGCCCCUUCUGUUACCAGCCUGUAGAAAUUCUCAACAGACGGUUUUAGCUUAAAAGGAACACCAUCCUGAAUUGAGCAAAUCAUUUUUCCAUUUUCCCCAGAGUCUCGGUCUCGAAUCCUAAACAGGGCCACUUCUGUCUCUGGAGAAUUCUCGGGAAUAGGGCUGGUAAGUGAUGAAAUACUUAGUUCCGGGAAGUUAUCGUUAACAUCUAGCACCUUAACAGAGACAGAGCAUUUUCCAGAAAGUCCCCCGCCAUCAGAUGCCUCUAUAUCUAGAUCAUAUGAGGAUAUUGUCUCAAAAUCUAGUUUUUUAAUUAGUCGAAUUUCUCCUGAAAGGCUGCUUAGCUCAAAAGGUUCGUUUAUCUCCUGAGAGCUGUAAGAAAUGGAAUAUGAUAUCUCUCCAUUCGGCCC